ensembl:lncRNA
UCAGGCGCAGGCCUGAGACGCCUCCGGGGGAGGAGGGGCCGUGUUCCUGAUGACCACACACUCAGUGCACUUUCCCAUCUGCAUUCAUUUGGGGAGCUAAUUCUGGCUGCUGAAUGUCUUCAUUUAAAAUACACAUACAUGUAUUUUGUUCAGUGUUUUAAUUAGGCCCAAAGGAAUGUACUUUCAAAUUUUGGUACACUUCAUUUGUUAUAUUAAUGAAAAGCCACUUUAAAUCAAGUUUCCUGUUGAUAUUUCAUUAUGUAUGCUGUUCUUACACAUCUCUAAAGGAGAUUUACGUUACAGGUAGUAACCACAAAUACCGGCCGUGGACAUGCUGUUAAUUUAAAAUGUAAAGUUUUCUUUUGAGGCGCAGCAGAAAUAUAGGGUCGCUCUCUUCGCCAGGGCCGCUCACUUCCUGUGAAAAUGACCCACAGCUGUCGCCCCAUCCGGAGGCCCAACCUACAGGCAGGGAUCUGACGUUCACACCCAGGUUCACGGAGACAGAGCUCAGCACGGGGGCAGAGCAUAAUGUGCAGGGACUGGCCCCGCUCCCGACAACAUGGGCAGCCUUGACGGUGGCGCUGGCCUUGCCCUCGGCUGUCGCUGAACGUUUCCAGGUGCCAGCACUGCACCAGGCAGGUGAGGGAGGCAACAGCUGGGAUGACUGGGGCACAACCAGUUGUCUGGCCACGCUUCCUCUGGUGGCCUUCAGGGCCUUACAAACACCGACAGAUGUUACCUCCAGGACCCUCACGAGGACCCUCUGCGUCAAGCUGUCAUCGUCACUCCUGUUUUACAGGUGAGUGAACCAGUUCUCAGAGAGGUCAAGUGACAAGCCCCAUGUCACACCGCAGAUGCAGGGCGUCGGGGGAGUACAAAGGGCCCAGCAGAAGCACCAGGUCUCUAAUGACUGACACCUGUGUUUUAUAAUUUCUUACUGUCACCAAGGCAGAGGGUGGGGAGUGUUAUGGUUGACUCUUUUUUCCUGGUUGACUUUUUAACAUCUUAUGAUGGAGAAAGGAAUUUCAGACAGUAUUCUGCAGCUUAAUUUUUUUUAAAGAGAAUUUUUAAGUGUAAGGCAAAUAUGUUGUUAUGCGUGGCUGGAUGGUACCAUACGCACUGAAAUGGCCUCUUUAGAGAAAGUUAAGAUAAAUGUGGCAGUUAGGUGACACAGCCCCCAGUGCCCUCAGCAGCCCCAACAGGGGCAGAAAGGGCCAGACACUCACUUUCCCAGAGGUGAGACCCAUGUGCGAAGGAAGCCUGCUGAAGGCGCCUGGGAAAGCACGUCGUCCCUGAUCAGAGCAGAGGCAUGCUCAGGGUGCUCUCCCUUGCGGCUCCUUGCAGCUUUGGGUCACACCAGGCACCCAUCUUGCAGUCUGAGGGCAGAGGAGGGGGCGGGAGGAUGGAGGGGUCUGGCCCCCCUGAGUUGAGAGCCCACCCUGGGCCAUGUCUCCAAGGGGACACUGCCUGUGAAGGGACAGCCUGAGCCCUGGUGGGAACGUCUUGGGCUACCUGUGCCCACAGCACACCCCCUGUGCUCUGCGUGCCCCCAGUGCCCUUGGAGCCAGGGCAGCAGGAGCCCCAGGAAAGGGG